GGUUCCUGUCCAACGUUAAUCGGGGCAGGGUGAGUCGACCCCUAAGGCGAGGCCGAAAGGCGUAGUCGAUGGGAAACAGGUUAAUAUUCCUGUACUUGGUGUUACUGCGAAGGGGGGACGGAGAAGGCUAUGUUGGCCGGGCGACGGUUGUCCCGGUUUAAGCGUGUAGGCUGGUUUUCCAGGCAAAUCCGGAAAAUCAAGGCUGAGGCGUGAUGACGAGGCACUACGGUGCUGAAGCGACAAAUGCCCUGCUUCCAGGAAAAGCCUCUAAGCAUCAGGUAACAUCAAAUCGUACCCCAAACCGACACAGGUGGUCAGGUAGAGAAUACCAAGGCGCUUGAGAGAACUCGGGUGAAGGAACUAGGCAAAAUGGUGCCGUAACUUCGGGAGAAGGCACGCUGAUAUGUAGGUGAAGCGACUUGCUCGUGGAGCUGAAAUCAGUCGAAGAUACCAGCUGGCUGCAACUGUUUAUUAAAAACACAGCACUGUGCAAACACGAAAGUGGACGUAUACGGUGUGACGCCUGCCCGGUGCCGGAAGGUUAAUUGAUGGGGUUAGCGGUAACGCGAAGCUCUUGAUCGAAGCCCCGGUAAACGGCGGCCGUAACUAUAACGGUCCUAAGGUAGCGAAAUUCCUUGUCGGGUAAGUUCCGACCUGCACGAAUGGCGUAAUGAUGGCCAGGCUGUCUCCACCCGAGACUCAGUGAAAUUGAACUCGCUGUGAAGAUGCAGUGUACCCGCGGCAAGACGGAAAGACCCCGUGAACCUUUACUAUAGCUUGACACUGAACAUUGAGCCUUGAUGUGUAGGAUAGGUGGGAGGCUUUGAAGUGUGGACGCCAGUCUGCAUGGAGCCGACCUUGAAAUACCACCCUUUAAUGUUUGAUGUUCUAACGUGGGCCCCUUACCGGGGUUGCGGACAGUGUCUGGUGGGUAGUUUGACUGGGGCGGUCUCCUCCUAAAGAGUAACGGAGGAGCACGAAGGUUGGCUAAUCCUGGUCGGACAUCAGGAGGUUAGUGCAAUGGCAUAAGCCAGCUUGACUGCGAGCGUGACGGCGCGAGCAGGUGCGAAAGCAGGUCAUAGUGAUCCGGUGGUUCUGAAUGGAAGGGCCAUCGCUCAACGGAUAAAAGGUACUCCGGGGAUAACAGGCUGAUACCGCCCAAGAGUUCAUAUCGACGGCGGUGUUUGGCACCUCGAUGUCGGCUCAUCACAUCCUGGGGCUGAAGUAGGUCCCAAGGGUAUGGCUGUUCGCCAUUUAAAGUGGUACGCGAGCUGGGUUUAGAACGUCGUGAGACAGUUCGGUCCCUAUCUGCCGUGGGCGCUGGAGAACUGAGGGGGGCUGCUCCUAGUACGAGAGGACCGGAGUGGACGCAUCACUGGUGUUCGGGUUGUCAUGCCAAUGGCACUGCCCGGUAGCUAAAUGCGGAAGAGAUAAGUGCUGAAAGCAUCUAAGCACGAAACUUGCCCCGAGAUGAGUUCUCCCUGACUCCUUGAGAGUCCUGAAGGAACGUUGAAGACGACGACGUUGAUAGGCCGGGUGUGUAAGCGCAGCGAUGCGUUGAGCUAACCGGUACUAAUGAACCGUGAGGCUUAACCUUACAA
rnacentral:rRNA from 1 species